rnacentral:rRNA from 1 species
UUAAGUUAAUAAGGGCGCACGGUGGAUGCCUUGGCACUAGAAGCCGAUGAAGGACGUGACUAACGACGAAAUGCUUUGGGGAGUUGUAAGUAAACAUUGAUCCAGAGAUGUCCGAAUGGGGGAACCCGGCAUGUGAAGCAUGUCACUCAUUACUGUUAAGGUAAUGAAGAGGAAGACGCAGUGAACUGAAACAUCUAAGUAGCUGCAGGAAGAGAAAGCAAACGCGAUUGCCUUAGUAGCGGCGAGCGAAACGGCAAGAGGGCAAACCGAUGUGUUUACACAUCGGGGUUGUAGGACUGCGUUGUGGGACGCAAGAUUAUAGAAGAAUUACCUGGGAAGGUAAGCCAAAGAGAGUAAUAGCCUCGUAAUCGAAAUAAUCUUAAACCCUAGCAGUAUCCUGAGUACGGCGAGACACGAGAAAUCUCGUCGGAAUCCGGGAGGACCAUCUCCCAACCCUAAAUACUCUCUAGUGACCGAUAGUGAACCAGUACCGUGAGGGAAAGGUGAAAAGCACCCCGGGAGGGGAGUGAAAUAGAACCUGAAACCGUGUGCCUACAACAAGUUCGAGCCCGUUAAUGGGUGAGAGCGUGCCUUUUGUAGAAUGAACCGGCGAGUUACGAUAUGAUGCGAGGUUAAGUUGAAGAGACGGAGCCGUAGGGAAACCGAGUCUUAAUAGGGCGCUUUAGUAUCAUGUCGUAGACCCGAAACCAUGUGACCUACCCAUGAGCAGGGUGAAGGUGAGGUAAAACUCACUGGAGGCCCGAACCAGGGCACGUUGAAAAGUGCUUGGAUGACUUGUGGGUAGCGGAGAAAUUCCAAACGAACUUGGAGAUAGCUGGUUCUCUCCGAAAUAGCUUUAGGGCUAGCGUCGAUGUUAAGUCUCUUGGAGGUAGAGCACUGUUUGAUUGAGGGGUCCAUCCCGGAUUACCAAUAUCAGAUAAACUCCGAAUGCCAAUGAGAUAUAAUCGGCAGUCAGACUGCGAGUGCUAAGAUCCGUAGUCGAAAGGGAAACAGCCCAGACCACCAGCUAAGGUCCCAAAAUAUAUGUUAAGUGGAAAAGGAUGUGGGGUUGCACAGACAACUAGGAUGUUAGCUUAGAAGCAGCUAUUCAUUCAAAGAGUGCGUAAUAGCUCACUAGUCGAGUGACCCUGCGCCGAAAAUGUACCGGGGCUAAAACAUAUUACCGAAGCUGUGGAUACCUAUUAUAGGUAUGGUAGGAGAGCGUUCUAUGUGUGAAGAAGGUGUACCGUGAGGAGCGCUGGAACGCAUAGAAGUGAGAAUGCCGGUAUGAGUAGCGAAAGACAGGUGAGAAUCCUGUCCACCGUAAGACUAAGGUUUCCAGGGGAAGGCUCGUCCGCCCUGGGUUAGUCGGGACCUAAGGAGAGACCGAAAGGUGUAUCCGAUGGCCAACAGGUUGAUAUUCCUGUACUAGAGUAUAUAGUGAAGGAGGGACGCAGUAGGCUAACUAAAGCGUGCGAUUGGAAGAGCACGUCUAAGCAGUGAGGUGUGAUAUGAGUCAAAUGCUUGUAUCUCUAACAUUGAGCUGUGAUGGGGAGCGAAGUUAAGUAGCGAAGUUAGUGAUGUCACACUGCCAAGAAAAGCUUCUAGCGUUAAUUAUACUCUACCCGUACCGCAAACCGACACAGGUAGUCGAGGCGAGUAGCCUCAGGUGAGCGAGAGAACUCUCGUUAAGGAACUCGGCAAAAUGGCCCCGUAACUUCGGGAGAAGGGGCGCUGGCUUUAAGUCAGCCGCAGUGAAUAGGCCCAAGCAACUGUUUAUCAAAAACACAGCUCUCUGCUAAAUCGUAAGAUGAUGUAUAGGGGGUGACGCCUGCCCGGUGCUGGAAGGUUAAGAGGAGCGCUUAGCGUAAGCGAAGGUGUGAAUUGAAGCCCCAGUAAACGGCGGCCGUAACUAUAACGGUCCUAAGGUAGCGAAAUUCCUUGUCGGGUAAGUUCC